CCGAUACCCCGGUGUCCGGGCCUGUCCCCUCGACAGGCCCGGACACCGGGGUAUCGG
rnacentral:sRNA from 1 species